GACUUGGCUCUGGUCAGUGGUGCAAAUGACACAGUAAACUCAGCAGCACAGGAAGAUCCCAAUUCUCUUAUCACUUGCACGCCAAUACUGGAACUCUGGAAAGCAAAAUAAGGUGUAAUAUUUCAGCACUGCUUGGAGCUGCAAAGAAAAUGUGAUGGUUACAAGAGGAGUGUAGGGAGCUUCACUAGACUCAGCAGCAGCAAUAUUCAAAAUGGGCCUGAAGAGCACUGUGAAAAACCAGAUGGUCUCCAACUGAAAAAUAAUUGCAAGAAGCAGCAGCAAAGGAUUUAAAUAAG